UCCGCCGUUUUUUCUGUUUUCCUGCUCAAUUUAGCCUUGUUCUUUGAUUCUUUAUCGUGUAUUUUACUAUCUACACUUGCGGGGGCUUUGAUAACGGGGGUUUAGUGGUCGGAAAUUUUUUUUUCGAAAAUCGUUCGCCGGAAACUCAAUUUCAAAAUUGUUGGUUUUUAAGUUUAAGGAGUUGUUUAAG
ensembl:snoRNA Y17G7B.25 ncRNA